GUAGGGUGCGAGCGUUGUCCGGAAUUAUUGGGCGUAAAGAGCUCGUAGGCGGCUUGUCGCGUCGGAUGUGAAAGCCCGGGGCUUAACUCCGGGUCUGCAUUCGAUACGGGCAGGCUAGAGUUCGGUAGGGGAGAUCGGAAUUCCUGGUGUAGCGGUGAAAUGCGCAGAUAUCAGGAGGAACACCGGUGGCGAAGGCGGAUCUCUGGGCCGAUACUGACGCUGAGGAGCGAAAGCGUGGGGAGCGAACAGGAUUAGAUACCCUGGUAGUCCACGCCGUAAACGUUGGGAACUAGGUGUGGGUGACAUUCCACGUUGUCCGUGCCGCAGCUAACGCAUUAAGUUCCCCGCCUGGGGAGUACGGCCGCAAGGCUAAA
rnacentral:rRNA from 1 species